GUCUACGGCCAUGCCACCCUGAACAAGCCCGAUGUCUGAUCUUGGAAGCGAAGUAGAGUCAGGCCUGGUUAGUACUUGGAUGGGAGACCACCUAGGAAGACCAAGUGCUGUAGGCA
rnacentral:rRNA from 1 species